GGGUGAGUAACACGUAGGGAACCUGCCCGCGCACCGGGAAUACGCUCUGGAAACGGAGAACAAAUCCCGAUGUACAGGAAGGAGGCAUCUUCUUUCUGUGAAACAUCCUUUAGGGGAUGGGGCGCGGAUGGACCUGCGGUGCAUUAGUUGGUUGGCGGGGUAAAGGCCCACCAAGACGAUGAUGCAUAGCCGGCCUGAGAGGGCGGACGGCCACAUUGGGACUGAGACACGGCCCAGACUCCUGCGGGAGGCAGCAGUAGGGAAUUUUCGUCAAUGGGCGCAAGCCUGAACGAGCGAUGCCGCGUGAGUGAAGAAGGCCUUCGGGUCGUAAAGCUCUGUUGCGGGGGAAAAAAGGCAGCAUCAGGAAAUGGGUGCUGACUGAUGGUGCCCCGCCAGAAAGUCACGGCUAACUACGUGCCAGCAGCCGCGGUAAUACGUAGGUGGCGAGCGUUAUCCGGAAUGAUUGGGCGUAAAGGGUGCGCAGGCGGUCCUGCAAGUCUGGAGUGAAACGCAUGAGCUCAACUCAUGCAUGGCUUUGGAAACUGGAGGACUGGAGAGCAGGAGAGGGCGGUGGAACUCCAUGUGUAGCGGUAAAAUGCGUAGACAUAUGGAAGAACACCAGUGGCGAAGGCGGCCGCCUGGCCUGUUGCUGACGCUGAGGCACGAAAGCGUGGGGAGCAAAUAGGAUUAGAUACCCUAGUAGUCCACGCCGUAAACGAAG
rnacentral:rRNA from 1 species